rnacentral:rRNA from 1 species
GCCGGACAGGGAUGGGCAUGCGGCGCAUUAGGCAGUAGACGGGGUAACGGCCCACCUAACCGACGAUGCGUAGGGGUUCUGAGAGGAAGGUCCCCCACACUGGUACUGAGGCACGGACCAGACUCCUACGGGAGGCAGCAGUGAGGAAUAUUGGUCAAUGGUCGGGAGACUGAACCAGCCAAGCCGCGUGAGGGAUGAAGGUACAGAGUAUCGUAAACCUCUUUUGUCAGGGAACAAAGGCGGGGACGUGUCCCCGGAUGAGUGUACCUGAAGAAAAAGCAUCGGCUAACUCCGUGCCAGCAGCCGCGGUAAUACGGAGGAUGCGAGCGUUAUCCGGAUUUAUUGGGUUUAAAGGGUGCGCAGGCGGUCUGUUAAGUCAGCGGUCAAAGCCCGGGGCUCAACCCCGGUCCGCCGUUGAAACUGGCAGUCUCGAGUUGGAGAGAAGUAUGCGGAAUGCGCGGUGUAGCGGUGAAAUGCAUAGAUAUCGCGCAGAACUCCGAUUGCGAAGGCAGCAUGCCGGCUCCACACUGACGCUGAGGCACGAAAGCGUGGGUAUCGAACAGGAUUAGAUACCCUGGUAGUCCACGCAGUAAACGAUG